GACGAACGCUGGCGGCGUGCUUAACACAUGCAAGUCGAACGGAAAGGUCCUACUUUUGCUGGGUGCUCGAGUGGCGAACGGGUGAGUAACACGUGAGUAACCUGCCCUUGACUUUGGGAUAACUUCAGGAAACUGGGGCUAAUACCGGAUAGGAGCUCCUGCUGCAUGGUGGGGGUUGGAAAGUUUCGGCGGUUGGGGAUGGACUCGCGGCUUAUCAGCUUGUUGGUGGGGUAGUGGCUUACCAAGGCUUUGACGGGUAGCCGGCCUGAGAGGGUGACCGGCCACAUUGGGACUGAGAUACGGCCCAGACUCCUACGGGAGGCAGCAGUGGGGAAUAUUGCACAAUGGGCGGAAGCCUGAUGCAGCAACGCCGCGUGCGGGAUGACGGCCUUCGGGUUGUAAACCGCUUUCGCCUGUGACGAAGCGUGAGUGACGGUAAUGGGUAAAGAAGCACCGGCUAACUACGUG
rnacentral:rRNA from 1 species